UACAGAGGGUGCGAGCGUUGUCCGGAAUCACUGGGCGUAAAGGGCGCGUAGGCGGCUCAGUAAGGUUGCGGUGAAAGCCCGGGGCUCAACCCCGGGUCGGCCGUGGCAACUGCUGGGCUGGAGCACUGUAGAGGCAGGUGGAAUUCCGGGUGUAGCGGUGGAAUGCGUAGAGAUCCGGAAGAACACCGGUGGCGAAGGCGGCCUGCUGGGCAGUAGCUGACGCUGAGGCGCGACAGCGUGGGGAGCGAACAGG
rnacentral:rRNA from 1 species